GCACGGCACUGCUGGGCGUCCGGGGCGGACCCGGGGCGAAUCCCGGGAGUUGUGUGUCCCUCCGACUUCCAGCUCGUGAUGGAGUGGCAGCAGGGCACCGGGUGAACCCGGUCCACUGGUCCCCGGGGCGGGGGAUGCGGAAGGUGCUGAGGCUGGGAGGGGACAGUCCUUCCGUGCCCCGCCCGGUGCACGCGCUCCCGCCUUCGGACCCGGAACUGGUGCGCCGGGCCCUGCCAGCCCAGCCCAGCCAAGGGAGAGCUAGCGGAACCUGCGGUGGGAUCCCUGCGCUGCUACUGGCUGCUGGUGGGAUCCGGAGCGCGACACUGCCCCUGAGUCCAGUCUGCGCGGUUAAAGAGCUUCGGGCCGCCUCCCGUUAAUGAACGCCUACUGCUAAGGCCCAGGCCUUGUUUGGGGUAGAAAACAUGACAGGUGGAUGAGCCAUAAAGAUCCCUGCCCUCAUCUCCUUGCUACCUGACAGGGUAGUUGUGAGGAAGACACAGGACUGAAAAUUGAACCUAGGGCUUCAAGUGCUCUACCACUGAACUACAGCCCCAGCCCUAGAAAUUUCCUUCAUUCAGUAUGUAUUUGUUGAGCUUUCUCUAGAACACAGAAGACCUAAAGUGCAAGUCCUGCUGAUAAAACCUACCCUACCUGGCUUGCUCACCUUCUGUUUAUAAUCAAAUCAGGUCACAGGAGAGGGGACUAAUAAAAUGCAUAUGUGGCA